rnacentral:rRNA from 1 species
AUUGAACGCUGGCGGCAGGCCUAACACAUGCAAGUCGAACGAGUGGCGGACGGGUGAGUAAUGUAUGGGAAACUGCCCGAUGGAGGGGGAUAACUACUGGAAACGGUAGCUAAUACCGCAUACCAUCGGAUGUGCCCAUAUGGGAUUAGCUAGUAGGUGGGGUAAAGGCUCACCUAGGCGACGAUCCCUAGCUGGUCUGCGAGGAUGACCAGCCACACUGGAACUGAGACACGGUCCAGACUACUACGGGAGGCAGCAGUGGGGAAUAUUGCACAAUGGGCGAAAGCCUGAUGCAGCCAUGCCGCGUGUAUGAAGAAGGCCUUCGGGUUGUAAAGUACUUUCAGCGGGGAGGCGUUACCCGCAGAAGAAGCACCGGCUAACUCCGUGCCAGCCGCCGCGGUAAUAC